CACUUCGCUACUGUAUGACAUUUUCUUAUCUGAAACCUGUAUUUUACAGGAUUUUAUUUUCUUCAGAGCACUGUGGUCAGCAUUUGUCUCGCGUAAACUGUGGAGACAUUUGGAUACUGUACCUGAAAGUUCAUCACAAAGUGCUGGUGUUUUGAUAUCUACAAGAGCAGACGGCAACAGAAUUGGAGGUUACCCAAAUCUAAAGAUGUUGAGGAGUACAAGAAACAACAAAAAAAAGCUAUGAAAAACAAAUGAAAUAAAAACAACGUGACAUUAUAUUGAAUCAUGGCCCUGGGUUCCAGACCAUUCGACAACAACGAAAAAAAAAAAAAGAUUUUUUAGCUCACCAGAGCACAAAGUGUUUAAGGUGGGCUAUUGUGAAUGACCGGCGUCCGUCCGCGUGCGUCUUGCGUAAACAUUUGCCUUGUGAACACUCUAGAGGCCACACUUAUGACCCAAUCUUUAUGAAACUUGGUCAGAAUGUUAGUCUUGAUGAUCUCUAGGUCAAGUUUGAAAGUGGGUUAUGUGGAGUCAAAAACUAUGUCAGUAGGUUAGAUCAAAGAAAAUGCUUGUGAACACUCUAGAGACCACAUUUUUGACCCAAUCUUUAUGAAAAUUUGUCAGAAUGUUAGUCUUGAUAAUCUCUAGGUCAAGUUUGAAACUGGGUCAUGUGGAGGUAAAACCUAGGUCAGUAGGUUAGAUCAAAUAAAACGCUUGUUAACACUCUAGAGACCACAUUUUUAACCCAAUCUUUAUAACACUUGGUAAGAAUGUUAGUCUUGAUGAUCUCUAGGUCAAGUUUGAAACUGGAUCAUGUGGGAUCAAAAACUAGAUCACCAGGUCAGAUCAAAGGAAAAGCAACAUUUGUGUACCAAUGUUUUUGAAACUUGGUCAGAAUGCUUGAUUAUCUUUAGGUCAAGAUUGAAUCUGGGUCAUGUUAGAUCAAAAAAUAGGUCAGUACGUCAGAUCAAUGGAAAAGCUUGUGAACACUCGAGAGACCACAUUUAUGACCCAAUCUUUAUGAAACUUUGUUAGAAUGUUAGUCUUGAUGAUCUCUAGGUCAGUUUCGAAACUGGGUCAUGUUGGAUCAUAAACUAGGUCACCUGGUCAAAUCAAAUGAAAAGAUUGUGAACACUCUAAAGGCCACAGUUGUGUCCCAAUAUUUAUGAAACAUAGAAAGUUUGACUUGAUGAUUUCUAGGUCAAAUUUGAAUCUAGGUCAUGUGGGGUCAAAAACUAUAAACGACAGUGUCUACUUGUAGUAGGGAGCACAAUGCCUAACUUUAUAGUGCUGCCUCACUGGAAUAUCACGCCGUAUACACGUGGCAUGAUACCCCACCCAGUCACAUUAUACUGACACCGGGCUGACCAGUCCUAGCUCUAUCCUCUUAAUGCUGAACGCCUAGCGAGAAAGCUUCUAGUACUAUUAUUACGUCUUUGGUAUGACACGGCUGGGGAUUGAACCCACGACCUCCCGCACUCAAAGCGGACGCUCUACCACUAGGCUACCGAGGCGGUAGGCCACAGUUAUAACUUAAUCUUUAUGAAACUGGGUCGAAUGUUUGUCUUAAUCAUUUCUAGGUCAAGGUCGAAUCUGGGUCAUGUGUGGUCAAAAACUAGGUCACCCGGUCAAAUCAAAGGAAAAGCUUGUGAAAUCUCUAGAGGCCACAGUUGUAGCCAAAUCUUAAUGAAAUUUAAUCAAUAUGUUUGUGACGAUUUUUAGGUCAAGUUCAACUCUUGGUCAUGUGGGGUCAAAAACUAGGUCAGUAGGCCAGAUAAACUCUUUUGAGCGAUAUAUAGGGCCAUGGCCCUCUUGUUUUUGCUAGAUAUCUGGAAAUUAAUGCUAUGUUUCUGAAAAAUGCUUUGAAACUUAAUUCUGACAGACUAUCAUGAAAACAUGUGAGAAAUAGUUGUUUUUACUAAUUUUUCGAUGAAAAUCGAAAAGCGUUUGUUACGCUUUACCCGAGAUAAAGAAAAGUAUUUUUGGAGGUCAGUGCCUUCAAUUUUUAUAAAAGACAAUUCAGCACACAUUUCUGUCGGGAUCUAACUUCAUGUGAUGGACUUUUUUAUCUCGGACAAAGUAUAUGAUACGCGAAAAAGGUUCUGCAAUGUUGCUUAAAUGAGCAUGCAUAUCUUUAACAGUCUGCAAAUAAAAGAUAGAUUUUAAGAAGUUAUUCAUUUAUAUCAUACUGUAUAAUAAUAGAUUUAUGCUAUGUCAUUUUCAAAGAGAAUUUAUAUGUGUUUCCUUUUAUUUGUUAACUAUAUGUUUAUGUUGGCAUAAUAAACAAUUAUGAAUAUAAAAAUAUAAAGAUGA